rnacentral:rRNA from 1 species
GCUUACGGCCAUACCACCCUGAGAACGCCCGAUCUCGUCUGAUCUCGGAAGCUAAGCAGGGUCGGGCCUGGUUAGUGCUUGGAUGGGAGGCCGCCUGGGAAUACCAGGUGCUGUAAGCC